UGGGGAAUCUUGGACAAUGGGCGCAACCCUGAUCCAGCCAUGCCGCGUGAGUGAAGAAGGCCUUCGGGUUGUAAAGCUCUUUCGGCGGGGACGAAACGGUUCGUGACAACACCACGGACUAAUGACGGUACCCGCAUAAGAAGCACCGGCUAACUACGUGCCAGCAGCCGCGGUAAUACGUAGGGUGCAGGCGUUAAUCGGAAUUACUGGGCGUAAAGCGUGCGCAGGCGGUUUGUUAAGACAGGUGUGAAAUCCCCGGGCUUAACCUGGGAAUUGCGCUUGUAACUGGCAGGCUAGAGUGUGGCAGAGGGGGGUGGAAUUCCACGUGUAGCAGUGAAAUGCGUAGAUAUGUGGAGGAACACCGAUGGCGAAGGCAGCCCCCUGGGUUAACACUGACGCUCAUGCACGAAAGCGUGGGGAGCAAACAGGAUUAGAUACCCGGGUAGUCCCUGAGCGGGCUGGCAAGGCGCAU
rnacentral:rRNA from 1 species